UAGCUGGUGGUUACCAACCCAUGAUCUCGAUAAACUCCUCCCCCACGUAGCUUGUAACCUCCAUCCUCAGAUCUAUUAAGUAUGUGUCGAUCACCACCAUCCUCACUCUUGCCCUAACCUUUCUUCUUUCUUCUCGGAUUCACAUCUAAAUUCGGCCAAUCGGAAGGGUUUUAUUUAUUGCUUCUGACUGGCGGUGAUUGUAACCUACAGCAACCGAUCAUGGUUUGGUUCCAUUUUUUAUACACUAACACAUGUAUAUCAGAGAGAUUAGGAUGCAAGGAAGUGGAAUGAAGACAGUACAAGUACAGUGAUGUAAUGUUUUAGUUUUUCAGGUUGAAUCGUUUGAUGCUCUACUCUUCAACCUGGUGACUUUAUCUGCCCUAAUUUCCCGCUUGAUGUUCUCUACCAAUUUGUCUGUCGACAUUUCUGUGUGCAAUUCUACAGCUUUUAUUGCUCAAUUCUUUCCGGCGGUUUUGGUGCAAUGAUUUAGCCCUUGGAUAUUAAGGUUCGAUUUGGUGCACCUCUAUGGUAACUAGGGGUGUUAAUCGGAUUUCGGGUUAUUCAAGUCAAGUUUUAGGGGUUCGAAACUUCAAUUUCAACGGAAUACCGACUCAAGUAAGGUCGGUUUAAUCUGUAUCCACAGAGAUGAUAAGAUGAAGAUGUAGGAUAUUCAAUGUGUUGUUGCAGAAAUAAUUGGCAGAAGAUGUUUAGUUGCUGAACUUUUUGGGUCUGCAACGAAGAAACAACUACUAGCAUGCAACAAAGGAAAUUGCAUAAUGAUGAGGAACCUGCUAGAAAUUUAAAGGAGAUGGUCCAAGAUGCUUUACUUACAGGAGGAACCCAAAAUGUUGGGGCAAACUUCCUCUUGGUUCAAUGGGCUGGCUGCUACUCAGAGAAACGCUAUAGUUGUUCGCCCCUAACCACACUUUGGACAUCCCCCUCUUCAUAAAGUUUACCAUUCAGUACAUCCUAAGCGGGAAGGCUUGGCUCAACAACAAAUCUAAAACUUGAAACACAGUUUGGGUUAUGUGUUUACUGGUAUAGACUGCUUUCGCAACAAAGAAGAAUAAUGAAACAGGAGAGAUAGAGGCCCAAUGGGCACAUGCUCAACACACUCUACACGGGCUCCAAACACACGUUAAUUAUCGAAAUGCAUUAUUCUCUUGUGGCAUAUAUCCAAAAAGCUCAAUCGUUUGACACCAAAUGCAAGAUUGAGUCAUAACGUCAUUAUUCUCUUGUGGCAUAUAUCAUGCUUAUUAGUCACUGAUGAAACAAUGGUUAACCGGGCAGGGUUAACACACUGGUCUCGUCAAGAAGGGUUAAUCCCUUCCUCUCGGAGAUCGCUGGCUGGGUCACCGGUGGAUGAUCUCCUGCA